AGUGAACGCUGGCGGUAGGCCUAACACAUGCAAGUCGAACGGCAGCACAGUAAGAGCUUGCUCUUACGGGUGGCGAGUGGCGGACGGGUGAGGAAUACAUCGGAAUCUACUUUUUCGUGGGGGAUAACGUAGGGAAACUUACGCUAAUACCGCAUACGACCUACGGGUGAAAGCAGGGGAUAUUCGGACCUUGCGCGAUUGAAUGAGCCGAUGUCGGAUUAGCUAGUUGGCGGGGUAAAGGCCCACCACGGCGACGAUCCGUAGCUGGUCUGGGAGGAUGAUCAGCCACACUGGAACUGAGACACGGUCCAGACUCCUACGGGAGGCAGCAGUGGGGAAUAUUGGACAAUGGGCGCAAGCCUGAUCCAGCCAUACCGCGUGGGUGAAGAAGGCCUUCGGGUUGUAAAGCCCUUUUGUUGGGAAAGAAAAGCAGCAGGUUAAUACCCCGCUGUUCUGACGGUACCCAAAGAAUAAGCACCGGCUAACUUCGUG
rnacentral:rRNA from 1 species